AGGCUAAAUACUCAUCAUCGACCGAUAGUGAACCAGUACCGUGAGGGAAAGGCGAAAAGAACCCCGGGAGGGGAGUGAAAUAGAUCCUGAAACCGCAUGCUUACAAAAAGUAGGAGCCCGCAAGGGUGACUGCGUACCUUUUGUAUAAUGGGUCAGCGACUUACAUUCAGUGGCAAGGUUAACCGAAUAGGGGAGCCGUAGAGAAAUCGAGUCCGAAUAGGGCGUCCAGUCGCUGGGUGUAGACC
rnacentral:rRNA from 1 species